rnacentral:rRNA from 1 species
CCUACGGGUGGCAGCAGUCGAGAAUCAUUCACAAUGGGGGAAACCCUGAUGGUGCGACGCCGCGUGGGGGAAUGAAGGUCUUAGGAGUGUAAACCCCUGUCAGGUGGGAGCAAAUUAAAAAGAUAGUACCACAAGAGGAAGAGACGGCUAACUCUGUGCCAGCAGCCGCGGUAAUACAGAGGUCUCAAGCGUUGUGCGGAAUCACUGGGCGUAAAGCGUGCGUAGGCUGUUUCGUAAGUCGUGUGUGAAAGGCGCGGACUCAACCCGCGGACGGCACAUGAUACUGCGAGACUAGAGUAAUGGAGGGGGAACCGGAAUUCUCGGUGUAGCAGUGAAAUGCGUAGAUAUCGAGAGGAACACUCGUGGCGAAGGCGGGUUCCUGGACAUUAACUGACGCUGAGGCACGAAGGCCAGGGGAGCGAAAGGGAUUAGAUACCCCAGUAGUC